GGUGGCUCAGUGGUAGAGUGCUUGCCUAGCAUGCACGAGGCCCUGGGUUCAAUUCCUCAGCACCA
rfam:Dipodomys ordii contig_66838, whole genome shotgun sequence.